GGUGGGGUGGAGGAGAGGGAGAGGUGGGGUGGAGGAGAGGGAGAGGUGGGGUGGAGGAGAGGGAGCGGGAGAAGAGUGGUGGGGUGGAGGAGAGGGAGAGGUGGGGUGGACAAGAGGGAGAGGUGGGGUGGACAAGAGGGAGAGGUGGGGUGGACAAGAGGGAGAGGUGGGGUGGACAAGAGGGAGAGGUGGGGUGGACAAGAGGGAGAGGGAGAAGAGAGGUGGGGUGGAGGAGAGGGAGAGGUGGGGUGGAAGAGAGGGAGAGGGAGAGGUGGGGUGGAGGAGAGGGAGAGGGAGAAGAGGAACAAACAUUCUCAACAUUCCUACUGCAUAAAAUCUUAACAGUGGGAUUAAAACGUAGAAUGUAACACAAAUCACCACAGAGAACAAAUAGUCAUAAAGACGUGUAGGCCAAUGUGUAGAAUAAAGUUCUUACCUGAGCGGCUCGCAG